rnacentral:rRNA from 1 species
CCUACGGGUGGCAGCAGUGGGGAAUAUUGGGCAAUGGGCGCAAGCCUGACCCAGCAACGCCGCGUGAAGGAAGAAGGCCUUCGGGUUGUAAACUUCUUUUCUGAGGGACGAAGAAAGUGACGGUACCUCAGGAAUACGCCACGGCUAACUACGUGCCAGCAGGCGCGGUAAUACGUAGGUGGCAAGCGUUAUCCGGAUUUAUUGGGUGUAAAGGGCGUGUAGGCGGGAAAGCAAGUCAGAUGUGAAAGCUCAGGGCUCAACCCUGAGCCUGCAUUUGAAACUGUUUGUCGUGAGUGCUGGAGAGGCAAUCGGAAUUCCGGGUGUAGCGGUGAAAUGCGUAGAUAUACGGAGGAACACCAGUGGCGAAGGCGGAUUGCUGGACAGUGACUGACGCUGAGGCGCGAAAGCGUGGGGAGCAAACAGGAUUAGAUACCCUUGUAGUC